UUUGAGGGGAAUGUUGUCUGGCUCGGGGGCGCCGCCGCUCCGCUCCGCUCCUUCCUUCUCUGGUCUCUCUCUCUCCCCUAGUCUUCGCGCGCUUCCUCAAUCUCCAUCGUCUCUUCCUCCUUCUCUUGGAGACCAGCAGGAGGACGGAGGCGGGUGGUGUAGAUCUCGGACCAGGCUUCAUUCCCCCCAAA
rfam:Sorghum bicolor cultivar BTx623 chromosome 10, whole genome shotgun sequence.